AUCAUCCUGUUUCAAACGUGUGAGCGGCGCGACAUAUGUUUAUCUGCCGCUUUUCGUCGCUAUCAGAUUAACCGGAGCGUAUUAUGCGCUUAGGCUGCCUUUUCAGGUGGAAUCGAUCUCUCCUGACUGCUCUCAACAGCACAGCGAGUGGAAGACUGCAUACAACUAGGUGUGUCUCUACCGGUCUGCCCUCGAAGAUGCCGCUGAAGUUCGCUGCGAACAUCUCGACCAUGUUCACGCAUGCUCCGCUGCUGACGCGCUACCGUAUGGCCCAGUCGCUCGGGUUCAAAGCCGUCGAAUGCCAAUUUCCCUACGACGUCGGCGUCGACAACAUCCGUAAUGAAAAAGAGACCUGCGAUCUGGAGCAUGUGCUCAUUAACUCAUAUCCAGGUGACCUGACUAAAGGUGAAAUGGGUUUCGCUGCAAGGCCAGGUUGUGAAUCUGAAUUCCUCAGCAGCUUGGAGACUACGAUAAAAUAUGCCAAGGCCUUGAACUGCAAGAAGAUUCAUAUCAUGGCAGGCAUCACAGGCACAGACCAUAGCAGUGUUAUAGAAGAAACAUACCUCACAAACUUGAUGAAAGCAGCUGAAUUACUUGAAAAGGAAGGAAUUGUAGGUGUCAUAGAACCUCUGUGCAAGGCGGUUAAACCAGGAUAUUUUCUCAGUAACUAUGAACAAGCUGCACGUUAUGUCGCACAGAUAAACCACAAGAACUUGCGGCUACUCUUGGACAUAUUUCACCUUCAGAUGAGCUCGGGCAAUUUGACCAACACAGUCACAAGUGUGUACCCGCUUGUAGGUCACAUACAAGUUUCUCAGGCUCCACGUAGGGAUGAGCUUAAUGCACCUGGUGAAAUAAAUUAUAAAUAUGUCCUACGCCUAUUUGAAGAGCUUGGCUACACUGACUGGAUAGGCCUUGAGUACACGCCAUCUGGACAAGGCGGUGAUGGAGUUUCAUGGAUAAAAGAAUAUGGCUACUGCCUUUGAGGAAUGGCAGACAUGUUGUAGUUAAGGAAACAAUAUAUUCUGCAAUUAAAUGAAGAAAAAAGCAGCUGCACUGCUGGAGAGCAUAUCACGGGGUACGCUCCUGUCUGAAAGUGGCUUCGCGUUUGUCACGUUUAAUCAUUUGCUCUGAGGCAGUCAGUGUAGGCGUAUCGACAAUGGUUACACUGGAAUGUUUUUUUCGGCCAAGUUCGCUAGGUGUCAAUGCGCCAGCGCAACACAAGACAAAAUGUACAUAUUCUGAUAACAUCUGCAGCUGGCUUCUGCGCGGUUACUAGCACGGUGAUGUAGAUCUGCUUUGCGUUUGCUAGCAGACAUUUUUCCGCGGAAUCCUUUGUCAUCUGUAGGGAGCAAUGCAAAACGCUUAUUAAAACUAACAAAAUUUAAACAU